CUCCCGUGACUACCCCACCUCUCGAAAACACUCUAUCUCACCUUUCUCACAAUUUUUCCUCACCAUCUCUGCAAAACACUUCCUUUAGUACCGAGAGCUUUAGCUUUCACCAUUUCUUUUUUCCCCAACUAAUCAAACCUCAAAUUCAUAUAUUAGAGUUCUCUGGGAAGCGAGGAAUCCAUUGGGGGUUUUGCAUGCAUCAUUGAGGCACCUUGUGGUGCUUUGCCAUUAACAUCCAAGAACCUUGAGCUCUAUCGUGAAAAUAGUUUUUUUCCAGUGAACCCAACAACUUGCAAGCCAAUUUCCGACCAGCUCAAACCGUGUUCAGUCCCCAAAUUGGUAAAUUCUUGUUCUCCUCUUCCUUAGCUUCACUUUGGUUUGAAAAUCAUUGGAGAUGGUGGAGAUUUGACCCCAAAUCGAAGCCAGAGAAAUUUCCCGGCCAAAAUCCUUAGAAUUCGGCUUUCUCCUUCGUUGGGUCCAAUGACCUGUGAGCCCAAUCGGGUCGACCUGAGCUGCCACCUAAACUAGACCCAAAUCCAACCUGUCAUCUGGCCUAAUUCAUUAACCCAUUAACCCAAGUCCAAUUUGUUAACCCUAGCCCAAACCUAAUCCUUUAAACCUGGGCCAAAGCCUUGACCUAAUAACCCUAACCCGGUCCAACCUAUCAAACCCAAGCCCAUAUCUGACCCGACCCGAGUCUAAACCCAAUUACCACGGUUAGCACGUGGACCGUGUAUGGGCGUAGCCAUGCGUGCUGGAGGUAUUGUGCUUCGCCGCCAUGCCGACGACUUUUCCGACGACCCAUCUCAGCGCAUGCAACGGUGCGUGGCCUAUGCGUGGGGGAACCCGAGGUCUAUCUUUAGGUGCAUCGGUUGGAAGUAAUCCAGUCCUCCCUAAUUCGAGUGGCUCCCCAGGAGCAGAGUAUUUGUGAGUGGACCCUUUCUCAAAUUGAAUAUUUUAUAACUAUUGGUCUAGCAUGCAUUUCAUAUUUCAUGAUUUGAACAUGUCUUAUAUUAUGCUUUAUGGAUUUCUAUAUUUAUGAUUAUUGAAUUUACAUUUUUCUAAAGGUUAUGAACUAUUAGUUUUAUAUGUAUGAAAUUCGGUGGAUUUACGAAUAUGAAUUAGCAUGAAUUUAUUUGACGAGGUUUUUAGCUUUUGAGCUCUGGUGUUUUGGCAUGAGUUUUUAAGUUUCGUUUUUGUUGAUUAUCUAGUGGGUUAUCAUACGACACAUACACACAACACGGGUAUGUAGUUUAUGGUCAUAGAACACAAUUGAGGAUACUUAUGUUAUACCCCUAGCUUCAUUGGCGAAACCAGUGUUGGACAGCUUCACUAGCCACAGCUAAUGUCAGUAUGUUAUGCUAUAUAUAGAUAUAUUUCUUCUCUAGCGUAACCCAAAGUUGUACAGCUUCACCUUCGGGUGAUGGGGCCUACAGUGUUUCUUCACUGGCAUAACCCAAUGUCGUACAGCUUUACCUUCGGGUGAUGGACAGGUUAUACCUUCAGGCUACUAUGAUACUCCUAGUUGAUUUUAUCAUUGAUUUGAGUUAUGAGAUUUUUGGGUUUUGCCUUCGGGCAUUUUGAUAUUGUUUUUAGAGAUGAUUUUACGGCUACGAACAUUUCCUGCAUGCUAGAAAAACCUAUAUGUAGUACAUUAUAUGUUUUCAAAACAGGGGGUUAUUAUGUUCAGAAAGAAUUUAGGUUCUGAUUAUUAUUAGUAUUAGUAUAAAUUAUGGUCCACUCACCUUUUGUUUUUGUGCCCCCUCAAGACAUAGUGACGAGGAAUAUGACACGAGCAUCGAGGCAUUACCCUACCAGUGACUUUACGACCUUCCACUUGUGUAUGAUUCUUUAUUAUAAUUGUAAUUUGAUUUCUUACCUUCACUUGUACUUCCGAGUAGUUGUGUGCUUUGGGCAUAUUUGUGCAUCUUUUGUUUCGGAUUUAUGAUUGUUGGACCUUCCGUUACACACAUGUUUAAUUCAGAAUCUUAUUAUUGUCUCCUA